CACCGCCGCCCUCGCACCCCAUCCCUAUCCCCCCGUCCUAGCGCUCAACCCACGGCCCUCACGCCGUCGCCACCGUAUCCACGCUCCACCCCACGGCCCUCGCGCCGUCGCCACCGUAUCCAUGCUCCACCCCACGGUCCUGCUGCUGUCGCUGCCGUCCUCGCGCUCCGCCCGAGAUCCAUCCGCCGUCCUCGCACUCUGCCCGAGAUCCCAUCGCCGUCCUCGCGCUCCGCCCGAGAUCCAGCCGCCGUCCUCGCAAUCCGACUGAGAUCCAGCCGAAAUUGGCCCUCGCAUUCAGGGAUCCACCCCCAUCCCCGUCCUCCAGCCCCCAACCUCGUCCGCCAUCUUAUUGCUGCCGCCGGUAAAGAUCCAUCCGUGAGCUCUCCAUCCCGUUGCGCCCCUCCCGAAGCCAGCCGUCCGUUGUUGCAGAUCUCCUCACAAGACUCGUCUUUUCCAAUAGGAGCGGGUGUACAUGAUGGUGAGCUUGCAGGGCGGCGAGUACGCGAUACUACCUGGCAGCAAGGACGAGAGGUGGGCGAGCGGAGGGCGCCGAGGUGGACCCAGAGUCCAGUCAGUGUUUAAGGAGGCACAUUCCAAUUUUAUUCUCCAUCACUUUUGAAUUACAUCGUCAUCUACACAUAAUAUUUAUGAAUAACAGUGUCAUCUUUUGAUAUAAUUUUUUUAUGUGAGCACGGUGUUGUUUUCCUUUUGCAUGAAUAUGGCAUUAGCAUUGAAACCUUAGGCUCAACAUAUACUCUCAUCUUCCUCUACAUCCACAUACCUUCAACUACUUGAAGCUGCAUACGGUUUCCAGCGGGGAGAAUUGCAAGUUCCGAUCACAUUCAAACCUUAGAGGCACCUUCUCAUAGUGCCUCACACCGCAUUGCUUGGACAUGUGAAUUCAAAUUGUAGAGUCCGCCACCUUGGUGCAGUGGCUAGAUAGUUUCAGGAUUCAGACAUUCAAUACUUAUAUGAGAUGUUCGUGUUCAUUCUGGUUGUUGGCAUAAUAUUUGUUCUUUUGACAAGUUCAUUCAUUAUACUAACCAAGUACAUAACUUGCAGACCUUUGGCCUUUACUUUAUGAUUUGAUUUCGGAAGCCGAUUUAUCUAUAUUGAACACAUUUUUUUUGCAGGAUGGUUGAUACAUGUCUACACAUUUUGUCAGAGCAAUUUGCAGUGAAAGAAGCAGCCUCAAACUGAUAAGGAUUAUUCUAGAAAAAAACUGAUAAGAAGGCAACAUUUAUUUCUAUUAAGUAAUGGUUAUUGUUGUAGAUGAAGGAUGACAAGACGGCAACUAAUGUACCAGGAGGUGCAGGUACUACAACAUAAUACAUACAUUAAGUUUAUUGUUUCUCUCUUAGAAAUAUACCUAGAUCAUUUUGAGCCUUGACUAAAGCGUGACAUUUCUGCCUGGACUUAUAGCAUUACUAGAUAACAUUUUGUAUCUUGUUCAUAAAACUGAACUCCACAUACUGCAGUUUAUAAUAAAAAAAUAUGAAAAUAACACAACAUGAUCUGAAGCGCACAUACAUUGCUUAUAGGAGUUAACAUACACAAAUCAGUUUGGUGUUAUCCCUUUGGUGGUCACAAUCUGAAGAUCACAUGGCAUAAACUGAACUUCACAUACUACAGUUUUUGGGGUCAGAAGUUGUACAUUUCUGUUCUACUUCAUCAGAUAACGUACAAACACAAUUAUUUUCAAACUUUGAAGAUUACAUCAGCUAACUUUGUAGUAGAACAAAUACAACUUCAGAUUGGCUGAUCCUACUACAGUUUGUUGCAUGUAAGAUGUUGAAUAAAAUUUGUAGAUUUGUCUGCCAUGGCAAAAUGCGUAUUCUAUAUAUAUGUAGAUAUGUCUGCAUGAUGAUUCCUUUUAUCAUUUUAUAAAUAUCUUACCUCAUGUAUGACAGAACUAUGUUAUGUGUGUUAUGGACAUAUGUCAUAAAUACUUAAUUCUUGUGCUUCUCUUGGUUGCCAAUUUCCCUACGAGCUUCAAAGCACUUGAGCUGACUCCACUUUCUACCAAAUUCUUGUGGGGUAUUUUCACGUAAUCAGCAACCUAGUACGCAUGGAUGUGAUGGCUUGGAAGUGUUAUGGAGCAUUUGGCUGUCUACAGUAUUUUGGACCAGCAAACUUAAUUGUAAUCAUGAACGUAUGUGUGUUCUGGACCAUUUGGUGCUCAAGUAUUAUGGAGUAGAAAUCUUGUGCUCAUGGAUGUGACUCAAGUGUUUUGGACCAUUUAGUGUUUGAACUAUUUUAGACCAGCAAAUAGGGGUCCUUUAAUGUGACUUUUGUUUUCUGCAUGGUUGCCAAGAUAGCCAAACUUUGCUUUGUGUAGAUUGACUCAUGUUUGAACGUGUGAACAAUAUAUAUGUGUGUAUUCUUAUUACCAUAUUAUCAAUGGUUGUGAAAUA